rnacentral:rRNA from 1 species
CAGUCGCCGCGGUAAUACGAAGGGUGCAAGCGUUACUCGGAAUUACUGGGCGUAAAGCGUGCGUAGGUGGUGGUUUAAGUCCGUUGUGAAAGCCCUGGGCUCAACCUGGGAAUUGCAGUGGAUACUGGAUCACUAGAGUGUGGCAGAGGAUAGUGGAAUUUCCGGUGUAGCAGUGAAAUGCGUAGAGAUCGGAAGGAACAUCUGUGGCGAAGGCGACUAUCUGGGCCAACACUGACACUGAGGCACGAAAGCGUGGGGAGCAAACAGGAUUAGAUACCCCAGUAGUCCCUGUCUCUUAUAC